rnacentral:rRNA from 2 species
UGGGGAAUAUUGGGCAAUGGGGGAAACCCUGACCCAGCAACGCCGCGUGAGGGAAGAAGGUUUUCGGAUUGUAAACCUCUGUCCUUGGGGACGAAAAAAAUGACGGUACCCAAGGAGGAAGCUCCGGCUAACUACGUGCCAGCAGCCGCGGUAAUACGUAGGGAGCGAGCGUUGUCCGGAAUUACUGGGCGUAAAGGGUGCGUAGGCGGCAAAGCAAGUCAGAUGUGAAAUCCCCGGGCUUAACUCGGGGGGUGCAUUUGAAACUGCAUUGCUUGGGUGAAGGAGAGGAAAGCGGAAUUCCCAGUGUAGCGGUGAAAUGCGUAGAGAUUGGGAGGAACACCAGUGGCGAAGGCGGCUUUCUGGACGAUAACUGACGCUGAGGCGCGAAAGCGUGGGUAGCAAACAGG